rnacentral:rRNA from 1 species
GUUUAGAAGGUUUAAUUUUAGUUAAACUUAUUAAAAUAUUAUUUGAAUCUUUAUUUAAUUAACGAUUUAAAACAGGAAUUAGAGACUCCUCUAUUAUUUAAAAUACUAAAUAUUUAGUUUAAACUAAAAUAAUUUGGCAGCUGAUUAAUCCAGACUGGGGAUGGUGUUUAUUAAAAAGAUGAUCCGCUUAUAAAUUUACCUUUUUUAUUUAGUUGGUGUACGUCCGGUUUAUAACUUUUAAUUAUUAUUUAUAGUUAGUGUAAACUUAAAUUGUUUAAGCUAGGUCAAUGUGCUGCCUAUAAAAAGGUUUAUUAUUCCAUACAUUUAAAACAUAAAAUUGUAAAAUAAUAUUGAGGACUAGUCAGUAAAGAAAUUAAAAUU